rnacentral:rRNA from 1 species
CAGCCGCCGCGGUAAUACGAAGGGUGCAAGCGUUACUCGGAAUUACUGGGCGUAAAGCGUGCGUAGGUGGUGGUUUAAGUCCGUUGUGAAAGCCCUGGGCUCAACCUGGGAAUUGCAGUGGAUACUGGGUCACUAGAGUGUGGUAGAGGAUAGUGGAAUUUCCGGUAUAGCAGUGAAAUGCGUAGAGAUCGGAAGGAACAUCUGUGGCGAAGGCGACUAUCUGGGCCAACACUGACACUGAGGCACGAAAGCGUGGGGAGCAAACAGGAUUAGAUACCCCAGUAGUCCCUGUCUCUUAUAC